rnacentral:rRNA from 1 species
UACAGAGGUCUCAAGCGUUGUUCGGAUUCAUUGGGCGUAAAGGGUGCGUAGGCGGCGCGGUAAGUCGGGUGUGAAAUCUCGGAGCUUAACUCCGAAACUGCAUUCGAUACUGCCGUGCUUGAGGACUGGAGAGGAGACUGGAAUUUACGGUGUAGCGGUGAAAUGCGUAGAUAUCAUUUGGAACGCCAAUGGUGAAAACAGCUUGCUGGGGGUUUGCUGACGCUGAGACACGAAAGCCAGGGGAGCAAACGGG